rnacentral:rRNA from 1 species
AGAUGGCGACCGGCGCACGGGUGAGUAACACGUAUCCAACCUGCCGAUAACUCGGGGAUAGCCUUUCGAAAGAAAGAUUAAUACCCGAUGGCAUAAUAGAACCGCAUGGUUUGAUUAUUAAAGAAUUUCAGUUAUCGAUGGGGAUGCGUUCCAUUAGGCAGUUGGUGGGGUAACGGCCCACCAAACCUUCGAUGGAUAGGGGUUCUGAGAGGAAGGUCCCCCACAUUGGAACUGAGACACGGUCCAA